GGCGUUCGGUGGAUGCCUUGGCGCCAAGAGGCGAUGAAGGACGUGGCACGCUGCGAAAAGCCGCGGGGAGAUGCGAGCGAUCGUUGAUCCGCGGAUGUCCGAAUGGGGAAACCCCUCCUUAGGGAGAUCGGCGGCUGAAUACAUAGGCUGUCGAGGCGAACCCGGGGAACUGAAACAUCUCAGUACCUGGAGGAAAAGACAUCAAGUGAGAUUCCGCGAGUAGUGGCGAGCGAAAGCGGAGCAGGCCAGUGGUCCUGGCAAGUCAAGCCAAACGGUCUGGAAAGGCCGGCCAGAGUGGGUGAUAGUCCCGUAGGCGUAUGGCUUGUCAGGAUCCUUGAGUAGGGCGGGGCACGUGAAACCCUGUCUGAACAUGGGGGGACCACCCUCCAAGCCUAAAUACUCCUUGGCGACCGAUAGUGCACAAGUACCGUGAGGGAAAGGUGAAAAGCACCCCGACGAGGGGAGUGAAAGAGACCUGAAACCGAGCGCCUACAAGCAGUCGGAGCCCGCAAGGGUGACGGCGUACCUUUUGUAUAAUGGGUCCGCGAGUUUCUGUUGGCAGCAAGCUUAAGCCGAGAGGUGUAGGCGCAGCGAAAGCGAGUCCGAACAGGGCGUCGAGUUGCCGGUAGAAGACCCGAAACCGAGUGAUCUAGCCAUGGCCAGGCUGAAGGUGCGGUAACACGCACUGGAGGGCCGAACCCACGCCUGUUGAAAAAGUCGGGGAUGAGCUGUGGCUAGGGGUGAAAGGCCAAUCAAACUCGGAAAUAGCUGGUUCUCCGCGAAAUCUAUUGAGGUAGAUCGUCGCUCGAUUACCACCGGAGGUAGAGCACCGGAAGGGCUAGGGGGACCCAAAGUCCUACCAAACCCUACCGAACUCCGAAUGCCGGUGAGUACAGGGCGGCAGACAGACAGCGGGUGCUAAGGUCCGUUGUCGAGAGGGAAACAGCCCAGACCACCAGCUAAGGCCCCCAAAUGAUG
rnacentral:rRNA from 1 species